GUCGAGUGACACUGCGCCGAAAAUGUACCGGGGCUAAACAUAUUACCGAAGCUGUGGAUUGUCCUUUGGACAAUGGUAGGAGAGCGUUCUAAGGGCGUUGAAGCAUGAUCGUAAGGACAUGUGGAGCGCUUAGAAGUGAGAAUGCCGGUGUGAGUAGCGAAAGACGGGUGAGAAUCCCGUCCACCGAUUGACUAAGGUUUCCAGAGGAAGGCUCGUCCGCUCUGGGUUAGUCGGGUCCUAAGCUGAGGCCGACAGGCGUAGGCGAUGGAUAACAGGUUGAUAUUCCUGUACCACCUAUAAUCGUUUUAAUCGAUGGGGGGACGCAGUAGGAUAGGCGAAGCGUGCGAUUGGAUUGCACGUCUAAGCAGUAAGGCUGAGUAUUAGGCAAAUCCGGUACUCGUUAAGGCUGAGCUGUGAUGGGGAGAAGACAUUGAGUCUUCGAGUCGUUGAUUUCACACUGCCGAGAAAAGCCUCUAGAUAGAAAAUAGGUGCCCGUACCGCAAACCGACACAGGUAGUCAAGAUGAGAAUUCUAAGGUGAGCGAGCGAACUCUCGUUAAGGAACUCGGCAAAAUGACCCCGUAACUUCGGGAGAAGGGGUGCUCUUUAGGGUUAACGCCCAGAAGAGCCGCAGUGAAUAGGCCCAAGCGACUGUUUAUCAAAAACACAGGUCUCUGCUAAACCGUAAGGUGAUGUAUAGGGGCUGACGCCUGCCCGGUGCUGGAAGGUUAAGAGGAGUGGUUAGCUUCUGCGAAGCUACGAAUCGAAGCCCCAGUAAACGGCGGCCGUAACUAUAACGGUCCUAAGGUAGCGAAAUUCCUUGUCGGGUAAGUUCCGACCCGCACGAAAGGCGUAACGAUUUGGGCACUGUCUCAACGAGAGACUCGGUGAAAUCAUAGUACCUGUGAAGAUGCAGGUUACCCGCGACAGGACGGAAAGACCCCGUGGAGCUUUACUGUAGCCUGAUAUUGAAAUUCGGCACAGCUUGUACAGGAUAGGUAGGAGCCUUUGAAACGUGAGCGCUAGCUUACGUGGAGGCGCUGGUGGGAUACUACCCUAGCUGUGUUGGCUUUCUAACCCGCACCACUUAUCGUGGUGGGAGACAGUGUCAGGCGGGCAGUUUGACUGGGGCGGUCGCCUCCUAAAAGGUAACGGAGGCGCUCAAAGGUUCCCUCAGAAUGGUUGGAAAUCAUUCAUAGAGUGUAAAGGCAUAAGGGAGCUUGACUGCGAGACCUACAAGUCGAGCAGGGUCGAAAGACGGACUUAGUGAUCCGGUGGUUCCGCAUGGAAGGGCCAUCGCUCAACGGAUAAAAGCUACCCCGGGGAUAACAGGCUUAUCUCCCCCAAGAGUUCACAUCGACGGGGAGGUUUGGCACCUCGAUGUCGGCUCAUCGCAUCCUGGGGCUGUAGUCGGUCCCAAGGGUUGGGCUGUUCGCCCAUUAAAGCGGUACGCGAGCUGGGUUCAGAACGUCGUGAGACAGUUCGGUCCCUAUCCGUCGUGGGCGUAGGAAAUUUGAGAGGAGCUGUCCUUAGUACGAGAGGACCGGGAUGGACAUACCUCUGGUGUACCAGUUGUCGUGCCAACGGCAUAGCUGGGUAGCUAUGUGUGGACGGGAUAAGUGCUGAAAGCAUCUAAGCAUGAAGCCCCCCUCAAGAUGAGAUUUCCCAACUUCGGUUAUAAGAUCCCUCAAAGAUGAUGAGGUUAAUAGGUUCGAGGUGGAAGCAUGGUGACAUGUGGAGCUGACGAAUACUAAUCGAUCGAAGACUUAAUCAA
rnacentral:rRNA from 4 species